rnacentral:misc_RNA from 1 species
AUGAUUGCGAAUGGUUACCUUCGGUGCUGGCUCGUAAGAGCAAGUGCACGUUGGUGGCUUUCAUCCAAUACCCUUGUGAACCUUUGGCCUCUUGCUGGCUUCGGCUGGCAGAGGAUUUUUAUACACACACUCGAAUGUAAUGAAAACCUAUUGUCGUGCGCAAGCACUAAUGUA